AUUGAACGCUGGCGGAAUGCUUUACACAUGCAAGUCGAACGGCAGCACGGACUUCGGUCUGGUGGCGAGUGGCGAACGGGUGAGUAAUACAUCGGAACGUGCCCAGUCGUGGGGGAUAACGUAGCGAAAGCUACGCUAAUACAGCAUACGAUCUAAGGAUGAAAGCGGGGGAUCGCAAGACCUCGCGCGAUUGGAGCGGCCGAUGGCAGAUUAGGUAGUUGGUAGGGUAAAGGCCUACCAAGCCGACGAUCUGUAGGUGGUCUGAGAGGAUGAUCAGCCACACUGGGACUACGACACGGCCCAGACUCCUACGGGAGGCAGCAGUGGGGAAUUUUGGACAGUGGACGAAAGCCUGAUCCAGCCCUUCCGCGUGCAGGAUGAAGGCCUUCGGGUUGUAAACUGCUGUUGUACAGAACGAAAAGGCUCUGGUUAAUACCCGGGGCUCAUGACGGUACUGUAAGAAUAAGCACCGGCUAACUACGUGCCAGCCGCCGCAGUAA
rnacentral:rRNA from 1 species